CACGAAACUAUGUGAGCUAAUUUUUUAAAGUUGUCAUGUAACAAAAUGACAAGAUGAUGAAAAAUUAGGGGUGAAAGGCUUUACAAAUAUAGUGAUAUCUUGAUUUCUUUUAAACGUACUAGUACAUUGACAUAUUUAAAGCUAUAAGGUUUUAAAUGAAAAUUAAAUUUGAUUAACAUUUUGUAUGAUAUAAAAUCCCAUACAAUAGAAGAAUAAAUAUAUAUUUCUAAAAAAUUAUUAUUUUUAAAAGAAUGUGUAGUAAUUUUUUGCAAUAUUAAUAAUGUUACCAUAAGUAUUCAAGAGAUGCUAAUAGUGAACUCGGCAAUUAAGUUUUCAACUGUUUAUCAAAAACAUAGCUGUGUGGUAUUACACAUAGUGUUUUCUGCUCAAUGAUCAUUAAAUAGCCGCAGUACCUUGACUGUGCAAAGGUAGCGUAAUCAUUUGUCUUUUAAUUGGAGUCAUGUAUGAAUGAAUAUAUGGAGACUUUCUUUACCAUUGGCAACAUAAUAAAUUACUUAGUGGGUGAAAAAUCCCACAAUUAAAUAAUAGACGAGAAGACCCUAGAAAUUUAUAAUAACUUUUUGUUGGGGCAACAUAGUAACAAGUAACUUACUAUAUGUAUAUGAAACUAAGUAGAUAACUAAAAUUACUCUAGGGAUAACAGCAUAAUAUUUAAAUGUUUGUGACCUCGAUGUUGGAUUAGGGAGUUAUAGUUUAGAA
rnacentral:rRNA from 1 species